rnacentral:rRNA from 2 species
AGUCUGAUGUGAAAGCCCCCGGCUCAACCGGGGAGGGUCAUUGGAAACUGGGAAACUUGAGUGCAGAAGAGGAAAGUGGAAUUCCAAGUGUAGCGGUGAAAUGCGUAGAGAUUUGGAGGAACACCAGUGGCGAAGGCGACUUUCUGGUCUGUAACUGACGCUGAGGCGCGAAAGCGUGGGGAGCAAACAGGAUUAGAUACCCUGGUAGUCCACGCUGUAAACGAUGAGUGCUAAGUGUUAGAGGGUUUCCGCCCUUUAGUGCUGAAGUUAACGCAUUAAGCACUCCGCCUGGGGAGUACGGUCGCAAGACUGAAACUCAAAGGAAUUGACGGGGGCCCGCACAAGUGGUGGAGCAUGUGGUUUAAUUCGAAGCAACGCGAAGAACCUUACCAGGUCUUGACAUCCUCUGACAACCCUAGAGAUAGGGCUUUCCCUUCGGGGACAGAGUGACAGGUGGUGGCAUG